CGGGUGAGUAACGCGUGAGAAUCUGCCUUCAGGUUCGGGACAACCACUGGAAACGGUGGCUAAUACCGAAUGUGCAGCGAUGUGAAAAAUUUAUUGCCUGAAGAUGAGCUCGCGUCUGAUUAGCUAGUAGGUGUGGUAAGAGCGCACCUAGGCGACGAUCAGUAGCUGGUCUGAGAGGAUGAUCAGCCACACUGGGACUGAGACACGGCCCAGACUCCUACGGGAGGCAGCAGUGGGGAAUUUUCCGCAAUGGGCGAAAGCCUGACGGAGCAAUACCGCGUGAGGGAGGAAGGCUCUUGGGUUGUAAACCUCUUUUCUCAAGGAAGAAAAAAAUGACGGUACUUGAGGAAUAAGCAUCGGCUAACUCCGUGCCAGCAGCCGCGGUAAUACGGAGGAUGCAAGCGUUAUCCGGAAUGAUUGGGCGUAAAGCGUCCGCAGGUGGCUGUGUAAGUCUGCUGUUAAAUAGUGAGGCUCAACCUCAUAAAGGCAGUGGAAACUACACGGCUAGAGUGCGUUCGGGGCAGAGGGAAUUCCUGGUGUAGCGGUGAAAUGCGUAGAGAUCAGGAAGAACACCGGUGGCGAAAGCGCUCUGCUAGGCCGCAACUGACACUGAGGGACGAAAGCUAGGGGAGCGAAUGGGAUUAGAUAC
rnacentral:rRNA from 1 species